rnacentral:rRNA from 1 species
AUUGAACGCUGGCGGCAGGCCUAACACAUGCAAGUCGAACGAGUGGCGGACGGGUGAGUAAUGUCUGGGAAACUGCCCGAUGGAGGGGGAUAAAUACUGGAAACGGUCGCUAAUACCGCAUACCAUAGGAGUUGCCUAGAUGGGAUGAGGUAGUAGGUGGGGUAACGCCUCACCAGGGCGACGAUCCCGAGCUGGUCUGAGAGGAUGACCGGCCAAACGGGAACGGGGACACGGUCAAGACUCCACGGGGAGGAAGAAGUGGGGAUUAUCGGACAUGGGGGGAAAGCUGGCGGCAGCCAUGCGGCGGGUAUGAAGCGGGCCUUCGGGUGGUAAGGUACUUUCAGCGGGGAGGCGUUACUCGAAGAGGAAGCACCGGCUAACUCCGUGCCAGCAGCCGCGGUAAUAC